rnacentral:rRNA from 1 species
UACGUAGGGUGCGAGCGUUGUCCGGAAUUAUUGGGCGUAAAGAGCUCGUAGGCGGUCUGUCGCGUCGAUCGUGAAAACUUGGGGCUUAACCCUGAGCUUGCGGUCGAUACGGGCAUGACUGGAGUUCGGCAGGGGAGACUGGAAUUCCUGGUGUAGCGGUGAAAUGCGCAGAUAUCUGGAGGAACACCAAUGGCGAAGGCAGCUCGCUGGAACGGUACUGACGCUGAGGCGCGAAAGCGUGGGGAGCGAACAGG